rnacentral:rRNA from 1 species
GACGAACGCUGGCGGCGUGCUUAACACAUGCAAGUCGAACGGAAAGGCCUGCUUUCCCUUGUGGAUUGCGGGUACUCGAGUGGCGAACGGGUGAGUAACACGUGAGUGAUCUGCCCCCAACUUGGGUAUAAGCCUGGGAAACUGGGUCUAAUUCCCGAUAGGACUGCAGGGUGGUGCCUGUGGUGGAAAACGAUUUUCUAGUGGUUGGGGAUGAGCUCGCGGCCCAUCAGCUUGUUGGUGGGGUAAUGGCCUACCAAGGCGGCAACGGGUAGCCGGCCUGAGAGGGUGGACGGCCACAUUGGAACUGAGAUACGGCCCAGACUCCUACGGGAGGCAGCAGUGGGGAAUAUUGCACAAUGGGCGGAAGCCUGAUGCAGCGACGCCGCGUGGGGGAUGACGGCCUUCGGGUUGUAAACUCCUUUCGACCGCGAGGAAGCCACCUGGUUGGAAGGGUGGUGACGGUAGUGGUAGAAGAAGCACCGGCUAACUACGUG